ACAGGUUUACUCCCCUCAAGUGCAAGGACAGCAUGUAUGAGGGGAGCAUCGCCUCAGCCUCAGCGUUUGGUUUAUUAUAAUCUCCCAUUUCAGGAUGAAAGUUCUUUAAAAAACUUUAUACAGUCAAAAUUCAUGUAUAUUUAUAAACGCACACGAAUGUUAAUUAGCGAGCUUUGGACAUUUGACUGACCGACCUAUUCCUUGUCAAAGGAGUCACGAACUCAUGGGCGGUGUAACUUGUUACACCUGAAGGUUACUUGAUGGUUUUUGUCAAAGCAACAGGCCUUCAUGAGAUCUUUGAGCUUGAGUGAUCUUGAAGAAAACCACAGAACUCAAGAGAUGACCCACCAUCAUAGACCACUGUAAACCAACAAAUAAAGCAUAGACUCCACAAGACCUUUGAAUGUGUCCUGUGGUAUCUGGCACCAAGACAUUGGCAGCAGAUCCUUUAAGUUGUAAGAUGCAAAGAUGGGCUGCGUGGAUUGGAUUUGUUGGUCCAGCACUUUCCAUAGAUGCUGAAUCGGACUGAGAUAUGGGGGAAUUCUUGGUAUGCAUGGCUGAAAAAUAUUUCAUCAUAUAGAUCUGGAACUGGAUAUUCUGUGAUAUUUAUGUACACCCAAGUCAUGGGAAAAUAAUUGAAAUUCAUAGGCAAAUAGGUGUGGGAACUCUGUAAUGUGAAUGCUGUGUGUGUGUAUCCCUAGAGGUAAGAAGGUAGGUGAAUAGGUAAUCGUCGGCUUCACCAUCUCUAAGAAGAAAAGGAUGAAAAUUUGAGUAAUCCUGUCAAACUCCAUCAUGAAGAUAUGUGUUAAAAGGAAAAGAGAGUCAAAGGUCAACCUGGUCUUCAGCGUUCUCUGCACUAAUGACAUAAUGAUUCUCUUGUGACCAAUCAACACUUUUACCUUUUUUGGACCAUGUUAUUUAUCUGACAAAAACGUGUAAUGCUCUAGAGAGGCUAUUAGCACUUAUCACAAAUGUUUGGUAUCCAUAAUGAUGUCUUCUUCAAUAUAAAAAUAAGUGUCUAAAGAAAAAAUGAGAGUGACAGUUCAGCCUUGUCUAUAGUGUCCUAUGUGCUUGCCUUAUGAUGCAAUAAUUCUGUGAACUCUUUUGUGACCAAUCAGCACUUUUACCAUGCCCUGUUUUUUGUUCAAAUGUGUAACUCUCUUGAGAGUCUGUUAGCACUUGUCACAGAGAAUUGUCAUCUGUAGUCUCAUUAAACUUGCUGUUGAAGCCUAACAGUCAGAGGUGUAAUGUAAACCGACUGGAGCUGAUGCAA